ACUGGGCCCAGUUCAGAUUGAAGUCUGCAACUCGACUUCAUGAAGCCGGAAUCGCUAGUAAUGGCGUAUCAGCUACGACGCCGUGAAUACGUUCCCGGGCCUUGUACACACCGCCCGUCACAUCAUGGGAGUCGCUUGUAGCCGAAGUCGGCGCGCUAACCGCAAGGAUGCAGCCGCCUACGCUAUGAGCGGUAACUGGGAUGAAGUCGUAACAAGGUAGCCGUAGGGGAACCUGCGGCUGGAUCACCUCCUUUCUAAGG
rnacentral:rRNA from 1 species